ensembl:ncRNA T22B11.8 ncRNA
GUGUGUGUGUGCUGCUUUUAGCGCAUUUGUGUUUAUUUGAAGAGUACCUCCCAGUUGGUGGCGGU